CAGCAGGUAAAUGGCAGAGCUGGGGUUUGAACCCAAGCACACUGGUUCCAGUCUGGGCUGUCAGUCACACAAAGCUGCAGGGGCAG
rnacentral:miRNA from 1 species